GGAAGCGAAAGAUGAGUAGAGAUUAAACAGUGGCACAGCUUUUUUUUUUUUUUUUUUUGAAGCGUGUCUACUGAAAUUGUAAAAUGACACUUUCACUGUUCUGGAUGCGGCUAACAGCGCAUUCACUGAGGUUUUUUUUAAUCAAAGUCUCUUGGAGCCAGUGCACCUCAUUACUUUCUAUUCCCUCGACACCUGCCUCGUUUUACUCUCACGACUCUCCGUUUCUCCAUCAUUUUUAUCCGCAUUCGUCCUUUUUUAUUUUUUUAUUUUGUGCCUGUUCGCAUCAUAUCGGACCAUAUGGCAGAGCAGGUUGGACUUGACACAUCCCAGGCACACACUCUCAUGCUGUGCAGACACAGCAACUUAUUUCCCCAAGGCACCUGGAACUAAGCAGGUGUGCUGGUAUCUAAAUGCCACCAUAAAGACUUGCAGCAACGACGCUUCAGAUGUAGCAGCACGCAAAAACAAAGCGAAUAAAAAAAAAAGGGGGCGAGGGGGCUUCCACUAAAAACUAAUAAAGAGCACGUGCGAGGGAGACGCCACACAUAAGCUGACUCCUUCACAAGGAAAAUGAAACACUUCAUAAAAUGCGGGUGAUUUUUCUAACGCUUCUUUGGAUCCGUGCUGAGGGUGUUUGUCAAUUGCUGCUGCCACUAGUCUGGAGGAGCAGAGUGGCUGGAGGAGGAGUGCUGGGUAAUGAGGUAGAGAACUGAAUCCACCACAUGACUGCCAUGAGAGAUUCAAGAACUUCAUCCACAACAGGACAAUAACCAUCUAGAUUGUUAACGGAAACAAUUAGAAACGUUCAGGUCUCUAUCUCUGGCUGCUGAGACAAGAGAUUCUCCGGAUCAGCGCUGCGAAUUCAUCCGGACUUUGAUGGAUUUCCCCUGACGCAGCUGCUCCAAGCCAACAACCUGACAGGCGGUGAGAGCGGGAGACGCAGAAGAGAGCUGCAGAUAGAUAGAUGGCACUUCACAUCUGCUGGACGUUCAGUGGAGUCAAGGGGGAUCUCCUAAAACUCGGAACAUAUUUCAGACCUCAAGGACGACCCCGCAGCCCUCCUCCUCCUCCUCCUCCUCCUCCCCCAAACGGGAGGGUGUUUGCAGGAUGGAGGUUUCAGAGAGCGUUUGUCUCACAUAGAGAGAUGUUUGGCGGCGUUGUUCUCACUGCAUAGAAUGAAAUGUCAACUUUUUUUCCGCCUCUCUUUUUAUUGCCAACUGGCACAGAGUUGCGUCCCGCUCCAAGCGUCUCUUCUGUUCUCUUUGAGUUAUGGUUCUGUUUGUUAUACAAUUAGCCCGCCAGGAUGGGCAUCAUAAAUAAAGCCAAGGGUGUAGAUCAGCAAGUUGUUCUCCCCCUUUUCACUCUGUUGGUCCCGGUCCAUCUGCGUAUGUAUGUGUCUGAGGUGACGUGUUGCGUGUCUGCUCCAUGUGGGACUGAAUAGCGGGAGUCAAAUCUUGUCGUAAAAAAAAAAAAAAAAAAAAAGGCGUCUCCGCUCUG